ensembl:snoRNA
GGCCUGUGAUGAACUGCUUAGACUUCUGACACCUCGUCUGAACGCUGCACGCGCAGCCUGAUGACGUAGCAGUACUGAGGCCG